rnacentral:rRNA from 1 species
AUUGAACGCUGGCGGCAUGCCUUACACAUGCAAGUCGAACGGCAGCACGGGUGCUUGCACCUGGUGGCGAGUGGCGAACGGGUGAGUAAUACAUCGGAACAUGUCCUGUAGUGGGGGAUAGCCCGGCGAAAGCCGGAUUAAUACCGCAUACGAUCUACGGCUGAAAGCGGGGGACCUUCGGGCCUCGCGCUAUAGGGUUGGCCGAUGGCUGAUUAGCUAGUUGGUGGGGUAAAGGCCUACCAAGGCGACGAUCAGUAGAUGGUCUGAGAGGACGACCAGCCACACUGGGACUGAGACACGGCCCAGACUCCUACGGGAGGCAGCAGUGGGGAAUUUUGGACAAUGGGCGAAAGCCUGAUCCAGCAAUGCCGCGUGUGUGAAGAAGGCCUUCGGGUUGUAAAGCACUUUUGUCCGGAAAGAAAUCCUUGGCUCUAAUACAGUCGGGGGAUGACGGUACCGGAAGAAUAAGCACCGGCUAACUACGUG